rnacentral:tRNA from 1 species
AACCUAUUAGCUCAAAUGGGAAAGCAAUGUGCCAUUGCAUAUGGAUGUAGGUUCAAAUCCUACAUAGGUUG